UUUUCAUUGGUUUCUGUGAAAU
rnacentral:miRNA from 1 species